UACGGAGGGUGCAAGCGUUAUCCGGAUUCACUGGGUUUAAAGGGUGCGUAGGCGGGCAGGUAAGUCCGUGGUGAAAUCUCUGAGCUUAACUCAGAAACUGCCAUGGAUACUAUUUGUCUUGAAUAUUGUGGAGGUGAGCGGAAUAUGUCAUGUAGCGGUGAAAUGCUUAGAUAUGACAUAGAACACCAAUUGCGCAGGCAGCUUACUACACAGUAAUUGACACUGAGGCACGAAAGCGUGGGGAUCAAACAGG
rnacentral:rRNA from 1 species